GAUGAACGCUGGCGGCGUGCCUAAUACAUGCAAGUCGAACGCGCAGCGAAAGGUGCUUGCACCUUUCAAGCGAGUGGCGAACGGGUGAGUAACACGUGGAUAACUGCCUCAAGGCUGGGGAUAACAUUUGGAAACAGAUGCUAAUACCGAAUAAAACUUAGUAUCGCAUGAUACAAAGUUAAAAGGCGCUACGGCGUCACCUAGAGAUGGAUCCGCGGUGCAUUAGUUAGUUGGUGGGGUAAAGGCUUACCAAGACGAUGAUGCAUAGCCGAGUUGAGAGACUGAUCGGCCACAUUGGGACUGAGACACGGCCCAAACUCCUACGGGAGGCUGCAGUAGGGAAUCUUCCACAAUGGGCGCAAGCCUGAUGGAGCAACGCCGCGUGUGUGAUGAAGGCUUUCGGGUCGUAAAGCACUGUUGUGUGGGAAGAAAUGCUAAAAUAGGGAAUGAUUUUAGUUUGACGGUACCAUACCAGAAAGGGACGGCUAAAUACGUGCCAGCAGCCGCCGUAA
rnacentral:rRNA from 1 species